rnacentral:rRNA from 1 species
GAAUUGMCGGGGACCCGCACAMGCGGUGGAUGAUGUGGUUAAUUCGAUGCAACGCGAAAAACCUUACCCACCUUUGACAUGUACGGAAGCCUUUAGAGAUAGAGGCGUGCUCGAAAGAGARCCGUAACACAGGUGCUGCAUGGCUGUCGUCAGCUCGUGUCGUGAGAUGUUGGGUUAAGUCCCGCAACGAGCGCAACCCUUGUCAUUAKKURMUACAUUCAGUUGGGCAMUCUAAUGAGACUGCCGGUGACAAGCCGGAKGAAGGUSGGGAUGACGUCAAGUCCUCAUGGCCCUUAUAGGUGGGGCUACACACGUCAUACAAUGGCUGGUACAAASGGUCGCCAACCCGSRAGGGGGAGCUAAUCCCACAAAGCCAGUCGUAGUCCGGAUCGUAGUCUGCAACUCGACUACGUGAAGUCGGAAUCGCUAGUAAUCGUGGAUCAGAAUGUCACGGUGAAUACGUUCCCGGGUCUUGUACACACCGCCCGUCACACCAUGGGAGUGGGUUYUGCCAGAAGUAGUUAGCUUAACCGCAAGGAGGGCGAUUWCCACGGCAGGGUUCGUGACUGGGGUGAAGUCGUAACAAGGUAACCGU